GUUCUUACCCACGAGCUAUGCAGCAGAUAUAUUCAUCAUCCCCCCCACCCAGUGGAGCUCCAUACAUUCGAGUUGCUCUCUCACAUCAAGAGCAGCUCCACCACCUUGCCUCACCCGCCUGUCUUUCCUAAAGAGCACAUAGCUGUCCACGACAGCAUUCCAGUCACAUGAGCUGUCCCACCACGUCUCCGUGACCGCAAUGAGAUCACAUCCCUGUAAGCACACACAGAUCUCUGGUCCUUCCUGUUUAUUCCCCACGCGGGGUGCAUUGCUAUACGGGCACUGGGAGAGGGACAGUUCUUGCAGGCAGGCUCUCUGGAGAGGUUAUCUGGGCGGCCAAUGGGGGGCCUCAGUGCCUCCUGGCAAGGAGUCCCCCGUCACUAAGACAAUGCUGGCGCGGAACGCGUCCGCCCCAGAGCCGAGUGCCUCCAAAAACAUGCUGUGUUUUGGGGCCAGCAAGGUUGCCAGGCAUGCUGUCUGGUCCCCAGCCCAGGGCACGUCAAUCUCUGUGAGGUGACACUCCUCGGUGCGAUGUCACAGUGGCUGUCUCUUAGUCCCCUGUGGCAGCGGUGGGAGCGGUGGCUCAGUAGCUUGUGGAAGCUGCAGGAGGAGGACCCAGAGAGAGCAUUGUGUCUAUCUGGAGAGAUCCUGCUGUGAUGGAGCGGCUGAGAGCCCUUCGAGGUGAGGUCCCUCCACCUCUCUGGACACCGUGACUCUGCCCGAGCACACGUGUGCCAUCCGUGUCCGUUUUGGAUGUGCCAGCAGCACUGUCCUUGCUCUGCUGAGUGCAGCUGCCCACCGUGGUCUCCCCAGUGCCCCGGCAAGGGGAAGGCUCUCUCCCCUUUCCCCGCCGACCGCCCACGUGCCAGCGCAGCCCACCCUGCGCUGUGGGGCUGGAGGAGCGUUUCUCCCAGAGCUGGCCACAUGCUCGGCCCUGGCUCCAAGCAACACCAGCGGCACCAGCUCUGCUCUUUCCUUCCAGGUCUCUUUGCUUGUGUGGGCUGCAUGCCCAGGCGUACGCGUCGCGGGAGCGGAGGCAGGGUGGCAAGCUCUGUCCCUGCUUGUCCCGUGACUUCGCUGCUGCAGCGCCUGCAAGACAAGGAGGGUGACCGAGCGCAGGCGUACUGCCAGCUGGAGAGCGCCCUGUGGGAAGAGGGCAGCCGCCCGCCGUGCGGGGUGGCGAACCGGCUGCUGGCAGAGGUGUCCCGGGACCUGACGGCGGCCCAGGUGAGGGGUCACUCCCGAAGGCGAAGGGAGCCGCCUGCCCGCGCUGGGAUUCUGCCGGUGGACGGUGGUGGCUUAGCCCUUCCCAGGGCCUCAGGCAGUCUCCCGUGCCGCGUGUCACCAGGGACUCUUUUUCAGGGCGUGACAGACAACCUGAGGGUGGCUGCCAGCAAUGUCCUGGUGGCUCUGGCGCGGUCGCACUUCAGCUUGGUGAUGGCCGAGCUCCAGGGCCACCUGAAGGCCAUGGGGGAGAUGUCCAAGGAGUUUGUGCUCAUCACCCUCAGCAAGCUGUUCAGCAUCUACGGUAGAGCACCCUCAGCCUCCUGAUGUUUAAGACAAGCGGGCAAAGGGCUCUCUCCCCUUUGCGCGUGAUCUGCGUUGAGCUGGGGGCUGCAGCCUUGCAGCCCGUCCUCCCUCGCUGCCGGGGCUCUGACCGUGGCCCUCUCCUUCCCCUCCGCAGCUCCGCAGUGCAUCGCCUUCAUGUGGCUGAUACUGGCCGGCCUGCGCAGCGUGGCCGGCCAGGUGAGGAGCGGCCGCACCCUGCGCGUCGCUUGUGCUGGUGAGUGCCGGCCCCUGAGCAGGGGGGCUCGGGACAGCCCUCGCACCUUGUCCUGCUGCAGCUUCUCAGAGGCUCCCUGUUCCCUUGGUAUUUUCUUGUUUGUUUUUAUUUUAUUUUAUUUUAUUUUAUUUUAUUUCUUUUUUUUCAGUUGUGAAACAAUGGUCAGAAGGAGUCCAGUUUCACCUGUACUCGGGAAAGCAAUGCUCCUGGCCCACCACGGAGAAAGAGCGAAUCUAUGAGAAUCUUUACCAGCUCCUCUGCUCCGUGGUGAGGAACUGGCAGGGCUGCGAGGAGGAACAGGUGAGCACUGCUGCAGUCCCAUCCCGGGAUGGCAGCGGGGACAUCCACGCUGGCAGCUCUGUCUGUGCCCAGUAGGCUGAGAGCAGAGGGCUGA
ensembl:lncRNA maestro heat-like repeat-containing protein family member 2A